GAUGAACGCUGGCGGCGUGCCUAAUACAUGCAAGUCGAGCGAACAGACGAGGAGCUUGCUCCUCUGACGUUAGCGGCGGACGGGUGAGUAACACGUGGAUAACCUACCUAUAAGACUGGGAUAACUUCGGGAAACCGGAGCUAAUACCGGAUAAUAUAUUGAACCGCAUGGUUCAAUAGUGAAAGACGGUUUUGCUGUCACUUAUAGAUGGAUCCGCGCCGCAUUAGCUAGUUGGUAAGGUAACGGCUUACCAAGGCAACGAUGCGUAGCCGACCUGAGAGGGUGAUCCGCCCCACUGGACUCGACACCCCGUCCGACCCCCCACGGGAGGCCGCAGGGGGGAAUUUUCCGAAAUGGCCGAAAGCCUGCGGGGGCCACCCCCGGGGAGGGAUGAAGGUUUUCGGCUCUAAAAACUUUUUUAUUGGGGAAAAACAAAUUUGUAAGUAACUAGGCCCGUCUUGCCCAUCCCUAAUCAAAACGCCCCGGCUACUCCCGU
rnacentral:rRNA from 1 species